UACAGAGGGUGCAAGCGUUAAUCGGAAUUACUGGGCGUAAAGCGUGCGUAGUCGGUUAUUUAAGUCGGAUGUGAAAUCCCCGGGCUCAACCUGGGAAUUGCAUUCGAUACUGGAUAGCUAGAGUUCGGCAGAGGGAAGCGGAAUUUCUGGUGUAGCGGUGAAAUGCGUAGAUAUCAGAAGGAACAUCAGUGGCGAAAGCGGCUUCCUGGACCAGAACUGACGAUCAGGCACGAAAGCGUGGGGAGCAAACAGG
rnacentral:rRNA from 1 species